UAAGAUAGUGAGACCCUUGAGUAGGACUCUGUACUACAUUGGUUAUUCUGUUCCAGUCUAGUUUUCCAGACCACCUCAAGCUUUAGUAAUAGAAUAUCCGUUUGAAGAAAAAAAAAUAUUUAUAAAUGGAAAUUUCAGAUAUUAUUAUUAUUAUUUUUUCAUAAGUGAUGGGUGUCAAAAUAUCAUUAGCUAAAAUGAAAUUGUCCGGUUUACAACAAGUUGAUCACCCUUACAAUUACGAAAACUGCUUCUUCAGAAAGAAAAAUAAUAAUAAAUUAUGCAUAGAGC
rnacentral:lncRNA from 1 species